rnacentral:lncRNA from 1 species
GUGAGGGUGGUGAAGACGGUGGUAAGGAUAAUAGCGGCAGUGAUGAGAAUGUUAAGGUGGUAGUCAUGGUGAGGAUGGCUGAGAUGCUGAGGAUGACUGUCAUGAGUGAUGGAUGAGCAGAUGACGAUGUGGUGGAGGUGGUCAUGACUGGAUCACAGGUAUCUCCACAGAUAAAUCUUUAAGCAACUCUCUGGCCUGACAGCUUCCAAAGGAACAGAGUUUUCCCACCUCUCAGAAGUCACGAAGCAGGGUGGGCCCAUUCCGAGGUGGAGUGUGUAACAGCGUCGCUCACUGCAGAAGGAUUCCGUGAAUGUUAUGUUGAAAUUAAUCAGAUGCAUGUUGCAGAGCGUCACAGUAAA